rnacentral:tRNA from 2 species
GAUUCCGUAGCUCAGUUGGUAGAGCAUAUCACUUUUAAUGAUAGGGCCCUGGGUUCGAGUCCCAGCGGGAUCACCA